rnacentral:lncRNA from 1 species
CGCCAGAGGAGCUAAUCAGCAAGAACUUCGCGUCAUUUUUCCAAAAUAAAACCAGUUUGUUUUUGGAGACGCUAAAUACUCGAAAACAGGCCAAAGGGGGAGAUUCGGUCCGGUUUAGAACAGGAGUCGCCGCACUUCCCGGGACAUGACGUCAGAGCUGCGCCAGGUAAACGGCACACCUGUACCUGCGCCGUCCUGACGCACCGCGGUCUCACGCACGGACGGACAGACGGACGGAAGUGGGGAUCAAAGAUGAGACGCAGUUAACGAGCUCCUGAAGAUCCUGAAGGUCCUGAAGAUCCUGAAGAUGAGGCGCGAAGGUGGACUCGUGGGCUGAACCUAUUCUCGAGGGAACACCACGUUAGACUGCUGACAUGUGCAACAGGACCGAGGAACCCUUUGAGCUUUGGAGCAGACGGAAGGAUGGAAGCAGUGACCCUCUCCUGCCUUCACUGCCAGCACAGAGGACAUUUGAUUACGUCCUGGUGGCCCACAAGCAGGAGGAUGAAACGGACCAGAAGGCUCUGAGACAGACGGCCUUCAUUCAACAACUGGAGAAAAAAACUUCAAAGUCUCGGUGCGGCUGAACUGUCCAGAUCUCCAACACUGAACAUGUGACUGAAACACGCGCGCUCCCAACCCCCCCUCGUAGAAAAUCGUCCAUGAUGACAAAGUAUUCUAUGGUCUUCGUGCCCCAUCUGAGAUAUUUGAAGAGUACCAGUAUCUGCUCAAAGUUUCUGACCUGC